CGAGCGGGCCAGGCGGGUGGCCGAGUUGUCCAAGAAAUAACUUCACCAAGAUGUCCAGUGAUCGGCAGAGGUCCGAUGAUGAGAGCCCCAGCACCAGCAGUGGUAGUUCAGAUGCAGACCAGUGAGACCCAGCAGCUCCAGAGCCUGAAGAACAAGAAGAAAGAAAACCUUCUGCCACCCAGCAGAAGAAAAACACCAAACUCUCUAGCAAAACCACUGCUAAAUUAUCCACUAGUGCUAAAAGAAUUCAGAAGGAGCUAGCUGAAAUAACCCUUGAUCCUCCUCCUAACUGCAGUGCUGGGCCUAAAGGAGAUAACAUUUAUGAAUGAAGAUCGACUAUACUUGGUCCACCAGGUUCUGUAUAUGAAGGUGGUGUGUUUUUCCUGGAUAUCACAUUUUCAUCCGAUUAUCCAUUUAAGCCACCAAAGGUUACUUUCCGCACCAGAAUCUAUCACUGCAACAUCAAUAGUCAGGGAGUCAUCUGCCUGGACAUCCUUAAAGACAACUGGAGUCCUGCUUUGACUAUUUCAAAGGUUUUGCUGUCAAUCUGUUCUCUUUUGACAGACUGCAACCCUGCGGAUCCUCUGGUUGGAAGCAUAGCCACUCAGUGUUUGACCAACAGAGCAGAACAUGAUAGGAUAGCCAGACAGUGGACCAAGAGAUAUGCAACAUAAUUCACAUAAUUUGUAUGCAGUGUGAAGGAGCAGAAGGCAUCUUCCCACUGUGCUGCAAAUCUUUAUAGCCUUUACAAUACAGACUUCUGUGUAUAUGUUAUACUGAUUCUACUUUCUGCUUUUAUCCUUUGGAGACUGGGAGACCCCCCAAAAAGGUAAAUGCUAUCAAGAGUAGAACUCUGUAGCUGUAGAUUAGUUCUGUUUAAAACGCCUACUUGCAAGUCUUGCUUCUUUGGGAUAUCAAAAUGUAUUUUGUGAUGUACUAAGGAUCCUGGUCCUGAAGUCUACCAAAUAUUAUAGUGCAUUUUAGCCUAAUUCAUUAUCUGUAUGAAGUUAUAAAAGUAGCUGUAGAUGAUUAGGAAUUAUGUCAUUUGUAUUAAACCCAGAUCUAUUUCUGAGUAUGUGGUUCAUGCUGUUGUGAAAAAUGUUUUUUACCUUUUACCUUUGUCAGUUUGUAACGAGAGGAUUUCCUUUUACCCUUUGUAGCUCAGAGAGCACCUGAUGUAUCAUCUCAAACACAAUAAACAUGCUCCUGAAGGCAUAAAAAAAAAA